UACGGAGGGUGCAAACGUUGCUCGGAAUUAUUGGGCGUAAAGCGCACGUAGGCGGCCUUGCAAGUUGAAUGUGAAAGCCCAGGGCUCAACCCUGGAAGUGCAUCCAAAACUGCUUGGCUUGAGUGCCGGAGGGGCCCAGAGAAUUCCCGGUGUAGAGGUGAAAUUCGUAGAUAUCGGGAGGAAUACCAGUGGCGAAGGCGCUGGGCUGGACGGUAACUGACGCUGAGGUGCGAAAGCGUGGGGAGCAAACAGG
rnacentral:rRNA from 1 species